UCCGAAAAAAAAGGUCCUCUGAAUAGGGGGCUUCGAAUUUUUAGGAGCUGCACUUUUCAGCUUUAAUAUUUUACUGAUAAGAUCAUUUGUAGCACGAAUACAGAUUGAGUAUUAAGCCAAAUGACCAAUGUUUUUAAACAUUAAAAUACUUUGUACAGGAACCCCCUUUACGACCCCUGAUUUUACACAGUUUUACAUGUAAAAUAAAUAAUGAAAUUAUAACGGCCGAGACCGAAAGUUGUGAAGAACAGACGUCAGAUUCUGGAAUAAUGAUGAACUUGAGUGGAUCAUCAACUGGGACAAGGAGGGCAACUUCGCAGUAUAAAUUUUCUAGAUUUAAAGACUUUUUUGUUUAUUGAGGUCGUAAGGAUGGUGGCUCUGAAAAUCCUGGGGUCUUGAAAGGGGGGGGGGCACCGAAAAAAAUCUUAACAAUGAAAGGGGGGCUCUGAAAUUUUAAGGUGUCUUGAGUAAAAACUUUCCUUCCCCCCUCUCGGUGUAUUUCAUUAACACUCCCUUAAACUGUUGCAUCAAAUGUUAUCACUGUAUGAGGUUAGAGUCAGUAGUUAACGUCAGUAGUUAGAGUCAGUAGUUAACGAGUUAACAUUUUGAACAAUCUUUUUAAUGCAAGCGAACAUUGUGUAUCAAUGGUUAUUUAAUGGGUACCCUGUGUAUUAAACACAAAGGCGCGGUAUAAAAGGGUGCUUCCAUUGGAAGCAUCGGCUCAUUUUAGCCUCGUCCCUUUGCUUCUCGGCGGGCCUAUCACGCUCUACAUGGCUAUGACGUCACUGCCCCUUUCUGCUCUCGCCCCCGAAAAAAGUCAACUUGAAGCGUCCGCCAUAUUGGAAAGUGUGAGUCUGCGUGCAAAGCAUCAUGGAGCUGACAGCAAGGGAGUAGCCUGGGGACGAGACUAGGCUCAUUUGUCAAUCAACCGCCGUGGAAGUGAGGAUCAAAUUCAAGAUGGCGGCUCCGAGUCAAGUACAAAACACAGAGGGGAGAGGUUUCAAAGCGCUUCCUGAUGUAUAAAAAUGCCAACUCUACCUUCUAGUCCGAUAGAAUAUGUAAAAAAGGAAUCUCAGUAGAAAUAAAGCUAAGAAACCAACGUGAUUUAUGCAAAAAAGGAGCAAACGCAUGAUCGGAAAACAACGAUUUCAAACAUCGACAAAAUCUAUACCCAAGAAGCAAGUCAUGGUUACAUCUGAAUAAUCAGCAAGAUAUAUUCCUCAAGAAAAAGCAGAUACAUAGACAUAUACAGUAUUACAUUUUCCAUGUGAUUUUUAAUCAUAAACAUUCCUUUAUAAAGGAAACAUGUUUUGUUACUAUCAAGUUAAUUUAUGUGUUAUUGAAGUGUAUAAAGCAACCAGUCAUAUUUUAUAAACUGCAUUAUAGAUUAUACUUUUAAAUAAACCAAAAUGCUUUCUCUUUUGUCCAUUCA